GGUUGCCGGGGAGACCGAUAGUAACACCCACGCUCCGGCAGACGCCGGGAGGCUAUGGCCACGUUAGCUCGGCUGCAAGCUCGGUCGAAGUUCGUAGCUCAGCAGUACUACUUCAGGAACAGUGUUGUAGAUAUAUUUAGGAAAAAGGAGUAUGAUGCAGCAGUUAAAAUCCAGAGCUGGUUUCGAGGAUGUCAAGUUCGGGCACAUAUCAGGAAUUUACAUAGAGUAGCAACUAUUAUUCAAAAAUGGUGGAGAAGUUACUCAGGGAGACAAGAGUAUCAACUAAUUGUAAAGUUCGCAUCUUGUGCUAUGAAGAUGAAUCUCUACAAUGCAAUGGCUGUCAGGAUUCAGAGGCGAUGGCGAGGCUAUAGGAUUCGGAAAUACUGCUUUAAUUAUUUUUAUUUGAAGGAGUACCUGAAAGCUGUUUCAGAGACCAAUGAUGCUAUUAGGGAGGCACUGGAGGAGUUUGCAGAGAUGAAAGAAAGAGAAGAGAAGAAGGCCGACCUCGAAAGGGAAGAGAAGAAAAGAGAUUACCAAGCCCGGAAGACGCAUUACCUCCUCAGCACAAAGCAGAUUCCAGGUAUAUACAAUUCACCAUUCAGAAAAGAUCCUGAUCCCUGGGAAUUGAGGUUACAAAAGGCAAAGCCUUUAACAUACCAAAGGUCUAAAGUUAAGCAGAAGCGCUGCAUCAGCCUUAGCAGUUGGCUAGCUUGUACGAGUGCCCGUUCCUUUCCUCGAUCUGAAAUUCUGCCACCCAUUGAUAGGAAACAAUGUCAGGGACCAUUCCGUGAUAUCACUGAAGUAUUAGAACAGCGCUACAAGCCUUUGGAGCCAACAUUGUGGGUAGCAGAACCAAUCAGUGAGUUAAAGGUGGCCAGAGAGGAAUUCAGAAGACAGGAAUGGAUGCGAGAUGUAAAUGACAAUAUGAUUUCCAAACUGUAUUACCAUCAUUUGAUCUCUUCUCAAAGUAUGGAAAAUUAUAUUCAAAAGCUGGACAAAUUAUCUAAAGGUCCUCUCCAUUUUCAUUCUGCAAAGCCAGAAGGGACCACAAAGAUUUCCACCCUUUUACAGCAAAAUAUGAUCUCCAUUCUAAGCUGGUACUAGCUGGGGGCCACUCCUGUUCCCUACUGCUGUGAGGCACAUAUGGCUGUGUGGCCAGGACCCCACAAAUCAUCCGAUUUUAUAGAGGAAGGAGAGAAGCAAGCGUAAAGGAAGCUGAAGAAUAGAGGAGAACAAGAAGAAAUGACAAAUGAGACUAAAUACAAUUAAAACUUUCAGAACUGUAAAAGCCACAGGUAACUAAUUCUUCCCAACCGCUUGAGUAUCAAUACGGUUCAGAAAAAUAGAAAUAAUGAAGGUCAGCAAAACCAAGGGUGGUUCAGAAGCUGUCUGGAAACUAGCUCUGGAGCUCUAAAUUCAAUAGCCCUGCUUUAGCUGUCUUUGACCUGCCUCCCAAUUCUGUUUAUACACGGAAUAAUUACUGUACUUCUCUCCUGGAGCACGAGAUACUUUAGAUCACAAUGGCUGCUUUUGUUUUGAUUUGCUACUAUUUAAUUACAAACCAUCAUGUUUAGAUCUUUUCAGGGCAGAGCAAUGCAGUGAUAACACCACUUGUAGAAACAGCAAAAAAUGUGAUGGAAAAUCUGCAUUAAAAAUGACAAAGGUAUGUCAGGGGUAAAUUUUGGCUUCCAUACAUUUGGCAGCAGCACCAAUGACAGCAAGGCCACUUAGUCCAAUCUUCAUCCAUGCUGAGUGGCGCUAAGCCCUCUUCAAGGAAUAGCAAGACUAAAAGCCUGUUAGGAAGACUGUUUUGAGAAGUCCAAUACACAGUUCACUUGAGAGGAAAAUCAAAUUCUCUUUCAGUCCUUGAGCGGUGAAAAGGUGGCACACUAACCCCCUGCAUUCUUUCAAUAAUGAGAAAAGUAAAUCUAAGUAAUACCUUCCAAUGAAUGAGGCUAUAUCGUCAAAACUACAUAGGUCUACAUUUCUCCCUGUUGCUUUUUCACAGUCAUUUUAUCCCCUAUGCAUUUUAUUAUGAUGAUGGUUAUUAAAGAUCUCAUGCGCUCUGUGGAAAGUGUGAAAAAUAGCAUUCAAACAUUGUGUAUGUAUUUUUAUAAUAUAAAUAAGAGUGUCAUAUUAUUUUACAUAUAUUAUUAUAUACAUUCAUUAUUACAGUAAAUACAUGAAGGAAGUUUUAGACCGGCAGGGUAUAUCUCAGGCCAUUUCCCCUCAUUUAUUCAGACAGAGAUUUUCUCCCUCAGGGACUGUAUUAAGUUUUGUGACUUUUGGGGGAGAAUAUAUAGGUGGCAUGAUGUAGCCUUAAGCUUCCUCCACUUGCCACUCUUUGUGAAUUGAGUUGGAUUAUGUCAUUUCCUCUGAUGCCCUAUAAUGCAGCCUUAAGAAUAAUGACCCUGCAGUGUGGCUCUGCUGAAAAUAGCUUUUCCAGUGCCAGAAAAAGAUGAUUCAUACUUGGCAUAGGAGCCAUUUCUGGAAACUGCCAGAACAAAGGACAGAGGUAAUUCACUAAGGGACUCCAUCG